AUUUGAACGAGAGAUAUAGUCAAGAUCAUGAAGUUAAUUAUAUUUCAACGUUUCACAUUAUAGUACUAGUAUAUUUUCCAAUUACUUAAUGCACAAUGAAAAAGGAUAAGUGGGGCACUCUACUAUAUUUAAUGGAGUAUCAAAAUUCUUUUUUUUUUUUUUGGUCAAGAUCAAAAUUCCAAAUAUAGGAGUAUAGUACAUGUAUAAGUAUAACAGUUAAUUUCCCUGAAGCUUCUGAUGUACUAGUAGUCAGUUUAGUACUGUUUUCACUUUUUGACAAUCUUUUGGUCUUGUUUUGCCUUUUGGUUUUUUUGUUUGAUUUUGUUUUAGAAAUUUGAUACAUCAUGUUUUGCCUUUUAUGGAACAAAACUUUUUCUAUGGCUUCCAAAAUGGUGGAGCUAUCCCCAAUAUUCC
rnacentral:lncRNA from 1 species